GAGUUUGAUCUUGGCUCAGGAUGAACGCUGGCGGCGUGCCUAACACAUGCAAGUCGAACGAAGCGCCUUAAGAGAUUCUUCGGAUGAUCUUUUGGUGACUGAGUGGCGGACGGGUGAGUAACGCGUGGGUAACCUGCCCUGUACAGGGGGAUAACAGCCAGAAAUGGCUGCUAAUACCGCAUAAGCGCACAGGAAGACAUCUUCCGGUGUGAAAAACUCCGGUGGUACAGGAUGGGCCCGCGUCUGAUUAGCUGGUUGGCGGGGUAAUGGCCCACCAAGGCAACGAUCAGUAGCCGGUCUGAGAGGAUGAACGGCCACAUUGGAACUGAGACACGGUCCAAACUCCUACGGGAGCAGCAGUGGGGAAUAUUGCACAAGUGGGGGAAACCCUGAUGCAGCAACGCCGCGUGAGUGAAGAAGUAUUUCGGUAUGUAAAGCU
rnacentral:rRNA from 1 species